rfam:Triticum aestivum genome assembly, contig: Triticum_aestivum_CS42_TGACv1_scaffold_424179_5BS
CUAAUACUCCCUCCGUCCGGAAAUACUUGUCAUCAAAAUGAAUAAAAAGGGAUGUAUCUAGAUGUAUUUUAGUUCUACAUACAUCCAUUUUUGUCCAUUUCGAUGACAAGUAUUUCCGGACGGAGGGAGUAUUUA